CCAUUGUUAUAAGUUGAAUUGUGUCCCCCUAAAUUCAUAUGUUGAAGUCCUAACCUCCAGUACCUCAGAAUGUGACCUUCUUUGGAACCAGGGUCUUUACAGAGCCCCAGUGCACGGUUGUAUAUUCUAGUUGUAAGUCCUUCUAGUUCUUCCAUGUGAGCUGCCACCACAGCACGGCAACUGACAGAUGGGUGGUGUGAUUCCGUGACCAAAAAACGAACCUGGACCACCAAAGCGAUUUGCAUGGUAUAAAAUUUCCAUGGAAACCAAUAUGAAGAGCAUAAAAUUCUUAGUAUUUAAAUAAAAUAAGUUGGUAAACAUCCUGUACUGAUGCUACAAAAACAAUGACAAGGAGAACCACAGAUAUUGUGAGUCAUAAAAAUGUUGACUGCAAGUUCCAUUUCUGUAAUGGCAAUACGAGGAGCACACAGACAUUCUCCAGGGAAACUGGUGAAACUUACAAAAAAUUACAGCCAAUUAAGGUCUCUGGAAAUGGUCCUAAGGGCAUACAGCAAAUGAAGUAACAUUUAUUCAAGAAAACCUACUAAAACUCAGUAAGACUAUCAAGCCUGUGGCAUUUGAACUACAAUUCAUUUCCUCUGAGCCCAGUUUGAGGAAACUCCACUCCAGGCGGAUGUGACGAAGAACACAGGGCUCUCUUGUCCUCAAGCUCCCAGUUGAGGGCUACAGUAUAUUCCUGGGAAGUGCAGAGCAUCAGCAUUUCUUAUCCCAUCCACCAACUACCUGUUGUGGGAGCUAAGUUCCUUGAUAGUGUCACCAAGAGAUGUGGGCUUCCUUCUUUUACCCAGCCCCCACUCAUGUGAUGGAGGCUGUAGCUUGGGGCACAGGUGCUGAGAGUAAUGGGACCCUGAUCAUUCUCACCUCAGCUUGUUUGUAAGGUGGAGGGUCCAUUCUAGGAGAGGAAAGCUGAGAAAACCAGACGUUACCCCUCCCCCACAAUACCUAGUGCCCAGUUCCUAAAGCAGGAAUGUCACUCAGAAGUGUGCCAUUUUUCCUGCCCCCAGCUCCGGAGCUGUGGCUCAGAUAUUUUUGCACAGGGGGAAAGGCAAGCCAUAAAACAAAUAGCUCCUAAGCUGUUCCCAAAGAAAUUCACUUUAUUUGUCCAAACCUAAAAGCACUCUCUUUUCAAAUAUAGUGGAGGUUGUGGUGAAAAGCGUAUAAGAGGAGAGUGGUAGCUUUCUUAGAGAUGUAAGCUAAACCAUGGACCGGAGAGUUUACCAGAGAAAACCAGGGAAAUACACAGCCAAGAAGAGCUCUCUUUGGAUCAGAACAAAGCUCAAAUACUGAACUCGAAAACCAUUCUUGUAAACGAGGACAAAAUUAAUUGGAUUGAGAUCCAACUAUAUGCUAUCUACAGGAGACUCAUUUUAGAUUCAAAGACACAAAUAGAUCAAAAGGAAAAAGGAUGGAAAAGAUUUAUCAUGCAAACUGCAGCUAUAAGAAAGCUGGAGCGGCUACACUAAUAUCAGACAAGAUAGGAUUGAGUGAUAAAAAUGGUGAUGGUUGUGCAACUCUGUGAAUAUACUAAACACCCUUGAAUUGUACACUUUAUAAAUGGAUGGAUUGUAUUUUUACUAGGUGCAAAUAAUCCCUCUACAUGCAUUAGGAUUACAUUGAAAAUAUUCAAUAAGAAUAAAAUUAAAGUUAA